UUGACGACAGUGAGCGUGCAGCUGGGCC
rnacentral:sRNA from 1 species